UACAGAGGUCUCAAGCGUUGUCCGGAUUCAUUGGGCGUAAAGCGCGCGUAGGCGGCUGCGCCAGUCGGUUGUGAAAUUCCGGGGCUCAACCCCGGAACUGCGUCCGAUACUGCGUGGCUAGAGGUAGGUAGGGGAGAUCGGAAUUCCUGGUGUAGCGGUGAAAUGCGCAGAUAUCAGGAGGAACACCGGUGGCGAAGGCGGGUCUCUGGGCAGUAACUGACGCUGAGGAGCGAAAGCGUGGGGAGCGAUCCGG
rnacentral:rRNA from 1 species